rfam:Cicer arietinum chromosome Ca3, whole genome shotgun sequence.
UCACUUACCUGGAUGGGGUCAAUGGGUGAUCUUGAAGGCCCAUGGCCUAGGUUGGUGACCUCCAUUGCACUUAGGAGGGGUGCUAGUUUAAGGUCUCCUCAAGUAGGGGAUCGUACAUCAUAAUUUGUUGCUGUGGGGGCUUGCGUUCGCGCAGCCCCUUU